GGAUCAGACCAAAGGUAGGAAACUUUUUAUUCUUGCAACCUUUCAUUUUAGGAGGCAGACAACAUUUCCCUGAUUUUUUACACUGCUGACUCUGUCUCUUUUCUUAUAGUUUUGGACAACGGCAGAAGGCCUCUGAAAAGCAGCUGCCAGGAACCACAAGUGGGGAGAGUUGCUGUUGGCAUUCCUGCUUGGAGGAUUCCCGGAGGCAUUUGGUUGCUCACUGUGAGAACAAGAUCCUGGACUAGGUGGGUCUCCUUUGGCCUGACCCACCAGGGCUCUACUCGCACAUACGUUAUCGACAGCU